rnacentral:lncRNA from 1 species
AGGUAGUAUAUUAAUUUAAAAAAUUCACAUAAAUUAUAACAAAGUGUUCCUACAUUUUCAUGGAGUUGAUUUCAUUUCCAUCCCAAUUGUUGGGAGCACCAGUCCCACGUGGAAAUCAACAAUUGUUAUAGGGGAAAGAGAGGGGAUGUAAAUAGAACUUGCUGGUAUGUGGUCACUAUAUGCAUGCUAAAUUGAAUAAUGUUGUUCGAAUUGGGUCACGUCGGCCUGUUCGAAUAGGGCAUUGAUGUGGGUCCCUAGACGGACAGGGCAAACUCUGCUAAAUUUGUUAAGCACUUAGGGUUCAUUUGAUUGCAAAGGUGAAAUUUGGGUGGAAAGAAAAUGAAUUUCAGGGAAUUGAAUUGAUGAGAAAUUAUUUUCCUGGGAAUUGUAAAUUAUUGUGUUUGAUUGGUAUAAUUUUUCACGUGAAAAAUGUUUAAAUUAAAGUGUUUUUUGAUGUCAUUUUGACUUUGUUUUACAUGAAAAUUGUCAAAUAAAGGGAUAUAAUUUAUUGGUAUUGGGGAUGAAAUUUGUUUUCAUUGCCAAAACAAAAAAAUAAAAAUUUCAAGAAAAUCAUUUAUCCUUUUAUGUUCGUUUGGCUUUGUUUUAUAUGAAAAUUGUCAAUUAAAAGAAAAUAUUUUUUUACAAUAAUUCUUAGAAUUUGUCUUCAUUGCGCAAAAAAAAAAUAAAUAAAAAAAAUUGAAAAAAGUUAAAAAAAAAUAAAAAUAAACAUGCUACAGUAACCUAGAAUUGCAAUUCUCACCAUAUCGAUGAGAAUUGCAAUUCCUUCAUUUGGUGGAAUUAGACUGAUGUGGCACAAAACAUGAAAAUGCAAUUAUAGAUCAUUAAAAUACUACCAAACACCAUUAAAUUGGAAGGUGGAAUUCCAAUUCCAUUUUUCCAUAGAAUUUCACAUCCAAUCAAACACUACUCUUAGUUCACUUUUCAAUUUUGCAAAACAUUCAAAAUUAGUUUGAUCUAAUUUUUUUGAAAAC